rnacentral:tRNA from 1 species
GCUGGAAUCAUGGCUCAGUGGCACAGCAUCUGUUUUGAAUACAGAAGGUCCAAGUUCAGUCCUCAGCAGCU